rnacentral:rRNA from 1 species
CUAAGAAUCUUCCGCAAUGGGCGCAAGCCUGACGGAGCGACGCCGCGUGGACGAUGAAGGCCGUAAGGUUGUAAAGUCCUUUUCUCUGUGAGGAAUGAGGGGGGGAGUGGAAAGCCCUUCUGAUGACGGUAACGGAGGAAUAAGCACCGGCUAACUACGUGCCAGCAGCCGCGGUAAUACGUAGGGUGCGAGCGUUGUUCGGAGUUAUUGGGCGUAAAGGGCGUGUAGGCGGCUUGAGAAGUCUGAUUUGAAAUGCACUGGCUCAACUGGUGCGCUGGGUCAGAAACUGGCAGGCUUGAGUUCAUGGGGAGGAGCUGGAAUUCCAGGUGUAGGGGUGAAAUCUGUAGAGAUCUGGAAGAACACCGGUAGCGAAGGCGGGCUUCUAUGGAUGGACUGACGCUGAGGCGCGAAAGCGUGGGGAGCAAACAGGAUUAGAUACCCUGGUAGUCCACGCUGUAAACGAUGUGCACUAGGUAUGGGGUACGAGAGGUACUCCGUGCCGGAGCGAACGCGUUAAGUGCACCGCCUGGGGAGUAUGCUCGCAAGGGUG